rnacentral:lncRNA from 1 species
UUCCAAGUAGUAAGGGAAAGGAGCAUACUUUGUUCUUCAAUCUGAUAUUGGGGACAUGGGUGCACUCCAAAUAAAAAUAAAAAUGAAAACUUUUUAUAAAGUUUUUACACAGCUCCCCACAUUUAUAAAGUUUUUCAAUCCAAAUAAAAAUGAAAACUUUACCCGGGAACAACAGAGAAACAAACGAUUACAAAACUUCUCUACACCGAACCAGGAAGGAAACAAGAUCGGAGUAGAAAGGAAACUAAAGAUAGUUCUCUCUAUCUUAAGAUGGGUCCAGCUUUGGAGGAUUGAAAAGAAAAGAAAAGAUCAAAGACAUGACCUUUUCUUUUUGGGGUACUACCUAAUCAUUUGUUUCCUCCUUUUCAUUGGUUGGUGUUUGGAGAAGCAAUGAUUUUUUGACGGUGAAUAUCAGCUGAUAUCCUUUGGCCAAGCUCGUUGAACCAUCCCUUCUCUUUACGAGUUCCACAGAGACGAUUCAUAGAUCUGCGUUUGUUGACGGCGUACACGUUGGUAGGUGUUUAGGCCAAAGAUUUUUCUUUUUAAGUCGGUUUGGCUUGGAAAAUUGAUUUUCUUUUUCUGUCGUAUUUGAGUCGG